rnacentral:lncRNA from 1 species
ACAACCUAAGGAGCAGUCUUUCGCCUUGUAGCGACUUGUUUUUCACCUAGUGUGAAGUUAUUAAGCAACGGUUAUGAUUUUCUGGGUUUUGUUUAGGAAUUGGCAUUGGGUGUCACUUGUAGAGUCACAUUAUCCAUUAAGCUGGAUAAUCCCUAGUGUAUGUUAUCCAGUGAGUGGAUUUUAGGAUUGAAGAGCCCAAUGGGAAUGAGCGUUCGUGGUUACACCUCUCGCACUAUGGCUUGUUUGCUGUCUGAUUGUAUAUCUUAAGUGUGGGACACUGCUGUUAGUGGAAAGAAUGUUUUGGAAGCGGUUUGAUUUGGGGGACUAAAUGUGCUUGGCAUUGACCACAAAGCCGCCAUUUCUGUACUAUGUACAGUUCAGGAAUAGUAAUCUAUGCCAGCAAUUAUGACAAUGUUAGCAGACCAUGCAGCUCGUCAGCUGCUUGAUUUCAGCCAAAAACUGGAUAUCAACUUAUUAGAUAAUGUGGUGAAUUGCUUAUACCAUGGAGAAGGAGCCCAGCAAAGAAUGGCUCAAGAAGUACUGACACAUUUAAAGGAGCAUCCUGAUGCUUGGACAAGA